rnacentral:rRNA from 1 species
GACGAACGCUGGCGGCGCGCUUAACACAUGCAAGUCGAACGAUGAACCGGGUGCUUGCACUUGGGGAUUAGUGGCGAACGGGUGAGUAACACGUGAGUAACCUGCCCUGGACUCUGGGAUAACCCCGAGAAAUCGGAGCUAAUACCGGAUAGGACCUUUCCUCGCAUGAGGUUUGGUGGAAAGGUUUUCGGUCUGGGAUUGACUCGCGGCCUAUCAGCUUGUUGGUGAGGUAAUGGCUCACCAAGGUGUCGACGGGUAGCCGGCCUGAGAGGGUGACCGGCCACACUGGGACUGAGACACGGCCCAGACUCCUACGGGAGGCAGCAGUGGGGAAUAUUGCACAAUGGGCGCAAGCCUGAUGCAGCAACGCCGCGUGCGGGAUGACGGCCUUCGGGUUGUAAACCGCUUUUAGUAGGGAAGAAGGGCUUCGGCUUGACGGUACCUGCAGAAAAAGGACCGGCUAACUACGUGCCAGCCGCCGCAGUAAUAC